rnacentral:tRNA from 2 species
GCCCAGGUGGUGGAAUUGGUAGACGCGCUGGUUUCAGGUACCAGUGUCCGAAAGGACGUGGAGGUUCGAGUCCUCUCCUGGGCA